rnacentral:tRNA from 1 species
GCGCGAGUAACUCAAUCUGGCAGAGUUCCUGCCUUCCAAGCAGGUUGUUACGGGUUCGAGCCCCGUCUCGCGCUCCA